CAGACAGAAACAUCAGACUGAGGACAGAAACACACCAGCUCUGAAAAAUGGCUCAAACUCUAUAUUUCCCUCUUCUCCUCAUUGCUCUCUGCUCCAUAUCUGAAUGUGUUCAGCGUCAGUAUCACUUUAUAAAUGAGAAGACCUGGACUGAAGCUCAGAGAUACUGCAGAGAGAAAUACACAGAUCUGGCCACUGUUGACAACAUGAAUGACACAAUUCAGCUGAUGAAGAGUGUGAAUAAUGUACGUCUCUGGAUUGGUCUGCAGAGGAAAUGGCAGUGGUCUUCAGGUGAUCCUGCACUCUUUUUGAACUGGGCAAAUCAACAACCAGAUGGCAGAGAUGAGUGUGCUUUUAUGAGAAAUGGAGAGUGGUAUGAUGGAGCAUGUAGUGACUCCUGUUUCUUCGUAUGCUACAACACCAGCAGAGGACUGGUGUUUGUCAAUCAGAAGAUGAACUGGAGAGCUGCUCAGAGUUACUGCAGACAGAAUCACAUUGAUCUGGUCACUGUGAAGAACCAGAAUGAGAAUCAACAGCUGGAGAAGUUCAUUAAUGACAGAAACUCAUCUGGAUCUGCAGUCUGGAUCGGUCUGUUCAGAGACUCAUGGCAGUGGUCAGAUCAGAGCAACUAUUCAUUCAGUUACUGGAAUACUGGAGACCCAAAUAAUUACGGAGGGAAUGAAAACUGUACAGUGCUAUUAGAGAACACUCAGGGCCAUUGGGCAGACCUCUCUUGUGACCGUCAGUUUUCUUUUGUGUGUCAUGAAGAUAAACUGAUUGUGAUCCAGCAGAAUCUGUCGUGGUCUGAAGCUCUGAGAUACUGCAGACAGAAUCAUGUGGAUCUGGUCUCGGUUCAGUCAGUGGAGAUGCAGCGUCGUGUGAUGAACGUGGUUAAACUGGCAUCUACUGAGGCGGUGUGGUUGGGUUAACACAACUACUGCAGCAUGAACAUGUGGCUCUGGCUGAGUGGAGACAUGGUGUGCUAUCAGAACUGGGCUCCAGGGAACGGCAGCACACCGGAAAACUGCAAACUGGAGAACAGAAAAGGAGCAGUUCAGUCUGGAGGAAAUCAGACCUGGAUCAGCCUUCCUGAAUCUCACAGACUCAACUUCAUCUGCACUAACUACUGAGAAUAAAAGACUUGUAUAUGUUUGUUAAAAAAUAUAUGCAUAUAAUAAAUAUAUAUAUAUGCAUAUAAUAAAUGCUUUAUUGGACUGUUUUUUUAUAUAAUUUAAUGUGUUUAUUUCAACUGUAUAAUUAAAAAUUCUGUAAGUUAACACAUUCAAAUGUUAUUCUCUACUGGAAAGUGGUUUAAAACAUUUAACAAAGACAGUUGAGUGAAAUUUCAGUCAACUGGAAACUAAAAAUAACAGUUCAAUAUUGUGACUUGUGCAUACUGAACACUUAAAAGAUUAAAGUAAACAAGUCUUGUGCAGUGACUUCUUGUUUUUCUGGUGGUUUGUGAACUUCUUACUGCUGUGUUUUUGGGAUAUCUUUACAGUUGAUUAGUUUAAAAAGUGAUUGUGUGCAUCAAACAUUUAAUAUAUCUCUUGCAUGUCUUUAAUUACAAUACAAUUUAGUUUUUAGA